AUUGAACGCUGGCGGCAGGCCUAACACAUGCAAGUCGAACGAAGUCUUCGGACUUAGUGGCGGACGGGUGAGUAACACGUGGGAACGUGUCUUUAGGCUCGGAAUAACUCAGGGAAACUUGUGCUAAUACCGAAUGUGCCCUUCGGGGGAAAGAUUUAUCGCGUUUAGAGCGGCCCGCGUCUGGUUAGCUAGUUGGUGUGGUAAAGGCUCACCAAGGCUACGAUCAGUAGCUGGUCUAAGAGGUUGACCAGCCACAUUGGGACUGAGACACGGCGCAAACUCCUACGGGAGGCAGCAGUGGGGAAUCUUGCGCAAUGGGCUAAAGCCUGACGCAGCCAUGCCGCGUGGAUGAUGAAGGUCUUAGGAUUGUAAAAUCCUUUCACCGGUGAAGAUAAUGACUGUAGCCGGAGAAGAAGCCCCGGCUAACUUCGUGCCAGCAGCCGCGGUAAAAC
rnacentral:rRNA from 1 species